UUUGGUGUCUAUAGCAAAAGUGAAACACCUGAUCCCAUUCCGAACUCAGCAGUUAAGACUUUUAGCGGCGAUGGUAUUGCACGCGCAAGUGUGUGAAAGAGUAGCACGAUGCCAGUA
rnacentral:rRNA from 1 species